rnacentral:tRNA from 1 species
GGUUUCGUGGUCUAGUGGUAGUGACACUCGACUCUGAAUCCAGUAACCGGAGUUCAAAUCUCGGUGGAACCU